rnacentral:lncRNA from 1 species
AUUUUUUUUUUUUAAUAAUAAAAAGAAACAUAUAUUUUCAAAAUGCGGGAUCUUACAAGUAUAGUCUUUUUUCUCCUUUUCAACUUAUUAAACAUGAUUUCCUAAGUGUUUAUGUUUUUAAUUUGUCUGUUUGUAGUGUGGGAAAAUUCUUAUUAUCUCCUUGACUUUACAGUUUACUGCCUGCACACGUGUUUGAUGUUUUGUUCUGCUUUCGGUAAGUAAUGUUUGUGUCUUUGUAAUAUGUGGUUUCUUUUUUAGUCUUCCCUUUUCAAUCAUUGAUUUGCUGCUUUUAUCAAACAUUCCUUAUUUGAUAAUAAUUUGGGAGAGCAAUUUAGGUUUCUCUUUCAACGACAAAUAUACCUUUGGGACAGAUACUUGAAUUCCAGUUUUGAAUCCUUUUUUCCAUAUUAAAUCCUGCUUUCCAAUUUUGUAUACUUAAUUAAAAUUACUUUUUAUUUUUUAUUUUUUUUAUAUAGGUUGUAUAGUUUGUUAAUUCAGGUUUAACAUCUUAUAUUAUUUUUGAACUUAAAUAAGUUGUUUAGUAUUAGAUUGUUAGUGGGGGUUCACUUCAAGAUCACAAUGUGAUGUGCUUUGUUCUACAAUAGUGUUUAAACGUUUUGGAUUUCUUUCUUUAUCUAUAGAUUUGCAUUAAUAUUGUUUUUUGUCAAGUUAGUUCUUUUCCAUGCACAUCGAUAUAUAAGGCUUGAGAUUUAAGUUUUCAGUCAUGUGAUGCUCAAAUGCUUUAUUAAUUAGUUGGUUAAAUGUCUGAUCAUCAUUUGGGCCUAUAGAAUAUUAAAUUUGUUGUCAAUGCUUUGAAAUUUAACUGAGUACCAUGCAUACCUGAUUGUUUUAUAUUUGUGUUUAUUUUCGCUUCACAUUAAUGUAAAGUUAUAUUUAUGGAAGGCAAAAAAAAAACAACAGUUUACACCCAUGCCACCUGACAGACAUAGUUGUCUUUUAUUUCUUUCUUAACUUACUAAAACUAACUUAGUAAGUGUUUUUCUUUUUGGUUUAUACAUUUGCAGUGUGGGAAAGUAAUUGAUUAUAUCUCUUUAACCCUGCUUUUCCCUUUUGGGACAAGUGCUUCACAUUUUGUUCUACUUUUGGUAAUUGAUAUUUGGUUUCCUCUUUAGUUUGCUUUUUCCAACUGUUGUUUUACUGCUUUCAUAAUGUGUUUAAGUGUUUUAUAAUAGUUAUUCUUUGUCAUCUGUUAAUGUGUGAUCAUUUGUCUUACUAUCCUAAUAUGAACUGUUUUUUUUUUGUCAAAUUUAGUUCUUUAAUUACUUUUGGUUGACUUAUUUCUUUUCUGAGUCCUUUUUAUUUUUGCAAUUUCGAGUUUAUGUAGUGGUUAUCGGUUUUGUAAUAGUUAUGUUAAAAUUAUUUUAACCAUUUAUUUAAUUAGGAAUGAAAGAAAUCUAUCAUUUCUUUCAUAUUUGUUUACAAAUUUGUGUUAUGCUGAUUCUUAUAUUUAUAAAAUUUAUUUCUCUUU